GCGCGGGUGGCGGAAUUGGUAGACGCGCUACUUUGAGGUGGUAGUGCCUUUUUAGGCGUGGAGGUUCGAGUCCUCUCCCGCGCA
rnacentral:tRNA from 1 species